AGUCCUGGGGGUAGGGAGUGGGGCAGGCAGCUUCACUGGGCCCUUUAUCUGCCUGAUUCUCAUCUUUCUUACACAAUAGUCUACUCAUUAUUCCUUCCCUAAGGGCCAGGACACAGGCCUGCCUGGGGUUACAGUCCCUGUCUUUACAAGUCCUCUCCUUCUGGCUCUUGGGCGUGCCUGAGCUCAAAGGAGCCUCCAAGCAAACUUGGCAGGGGGUGUCCCCCAGGGCAGAGAUGGGGGCCCCUGCGGUGGGCAGAAUAACGGCCACUGCAAAGAUGCCAAAUCUUAUCCCCAGAGCUUCCGCAGAGAUCCUGCAGAUGUGAUUCGAGUCUUCCAGCAACACCACCUCACUCUGCUUUGCACAAUCACUCCACCUCCCCACAUGUUGCGGAGAUUCUCCUGGCUGUGACACGGGAAACAUCCUCCACCAGGUCUUCUCUCACAGUGUGGCCUCUGCGCACAGGUUAUCCACCUGUAGACCUGGACGGGACCCUCGAGGCUCCCUACUCUGACCAUCUGGUUUUAUAGUUGAGGAACCAGAAGCCGAGGCAGGGUCUCGACGGUGAAGAAGCAGGCUGUUUCCAUCUUCAGGAUACAAGCCAUCUGCGCAUAGGAAGAGGGUCCAGAGGCUCAUCUGGAAUCCCUCCUCACUCACUGGACGGAGGACCUGACCCCGUUCCCAUCAUUGGUUCUGAAUCCAUCAGCCCAGCAAGACAGGUGUCUCCAGCAAGUUCUGUAAAAUACAACCAUAGCCGGGCCUGGAGUCAGCCCCCAAUAAAGGGUUCACCAUG
ensembl:lncRNA LINC00112 long intergenic non-protein coding RNA 112